rnacentral:rRNA from 1 species
GACGAACGCUGGCGGCGUGCUUAACACAUGCAAGUCGAACGGGAACAUCAGAAUAGUUUACUAAUUUGAUGUUUUAGUGGCGGACGGGUGAGUAACACGUGGGCAACCUGCCUUAGAGCGGGGGAUAACAGCGAGAAAUCGUUGCUAAUACCGCAUGAAAUUAGGGUUUUGCAUGAAACUUUAAUGAAAGGAGAAAUCCGCUAUAAGAGGGGCCCGCGCCUGAUUAGCUAGUUGGUGGGUAAAAGCCUACCAAGGCGACGAUCAGUAGCCGAUCUGAGAGGAUGACCGGCCACACUGGAACUGAGACACGGUCCAGACUCCUACGGGAGGCAGCAGUGGGGAAUAUUGCACAAUGGAGGGAACUCUGAUGCAGCAACGCCGCGUGGAGGAAGAAGGUUUUCGGAUUGUAAACUCCUGUCAUUUGGGACGAUAAUGACGGUACCAAAGGAGGAAGCCACGGCUAACUACGUG